rnacentral:rRNA from 1 species
GACGAACGCUGGCGGCGUGCUUAAUACAUGCAAGUCGAACGGAAAGGCCCGGCUUUUGUGGCGUGCUCGAGUGGCGAACGGGUGAGUAAAACGUGUGUAACCUGCCCUUGUCUUUGGGAUAACUUCAGGAAACUGGGGCUAAUACCGGAUAGGAGCUCUUGCUCCAUGGUGGGGGUUGGAAAGUUUCGGCGGUUGGGGAUGGACUCGAGGCUUAUCCGCUUGGUGGGGGGGUAGGGGCUUUCCAAGGCUUUGAAGGGUAGCCGGCCUGAGAGGGUGACCGGCGACCUGAGGACUGAGAUACGGACCAGACGCCUACGGGAGGCAGCAGUGGGGAAUAUGGCACAAUGGGCGGAAGCCUGAUGCAGCAACGCCGCGUGCGGGAUGACGGCCUUCGGGUUGUAAACCGCUUUCGCCUGUGACGAAGCGUGAGUGACGGUAAUGGGUAAGGAAGCCCCGGCUAACUACGUG